ensembl:lncRNA
GCAGAGCACAAGGCAAAGGAAAUUUAAAUCAAAAUCCAAUAAUCUGAACAAUGGAUCCCAGCCAGUCUUUUAAUCAGCCUCCAGGGGCCUGGAAUUCAUCUGAAAAAUCAGCGAUGUUGUAUCCUUCAGCACCACCACCAUACCAGGCCAAUCCUGCUGGAUAUCCUCCCUCCUUUCCAAGCCAGCCAUUCCCCCAAGGCCCCUAUGCCCAGGGGCCGUAUCCAGGACAGCCUGUGGUUGCUGUACAGCCUACAGUUUUUGUGACCGCCGCUCCACUGGCUAGUCAAGUGCCAGAUUACUUGGGUUACUCUAUUUUUACCAUGCUGUGCUGCUUUUGGCCUCUGGGCAUUGCUGCACUUAUUUUCUCCUGCUCUACUCGAAAUGCCAACUUCUCAGGACAGCGAGAAUUAGCAGAGAAGAACUCCAAAACGGCGCUCAACCUGAAUCAUGCUGCCCUUGGUACUGGCCUUAUUAUCAUUGUACUGCUCAUUAUUGUCAAUAUUGUGUUUUGAGUUGACAAAAUUCUCUGCAUUGUAAACGCUGUUUGCUCAACGUGUCAUUAUAGCCUACUUACAACAAAUGCUUUAAGGCAGAUUAUUGUAUGUUUAGACUUUUUUGUGCAUCUGUGCUGAUUUGAGCUUUUUUACAUAAUGUUUUAUUAUGUAAGUACAUGUACUGACAUAAAAUAUAUUCACUGACUAUAUCUUUCAAAUGACUGUACAUGAAUUAUUUUCUUACUCAAACACAACCACUAUUAAAACUCUUUAUGUACACAUAAUUUUGUCAGAACUGUUAAACUUAAGUUCAGAACCUCAAACAAACAAAUGGCUAAAUAUCUAUGCAUUUGCACAGUAAUAAAAAAUGAAAUACUUU